rnacentral:ncRNA from 1 species
UAAAUCGCGAGAGAUAGUCUGAAGGAAGCCGCUAGCAAAUCUGUGAGCUGAUGAACAAAAACAUCAUAUGAGGCGUAGGCUGGAGACGAGCUAGCACAAGAUAGCGAAGUCAUGUGAUCUAACGGCCACCGUAAAUGAUGCAGUUGUGCAGAGAAAGUCGAUGCA